rnacentral:rRNA from 1 species
AUCCUGGCUCAGGAUGAACGCUGGCGGUCUGCUUAACACAUGCAAGUCGAACGCAACCUUCGGGUUGAGUGGCGGACGGGUGAGUAACGCGUGAGAAUCUGCCUUGGGGUCGGGGAAACCACUGGAAACGGUGGCUAAUACCGGAUAAGCCUUUGGGUAAAAAAUUUAUUGCCCCAAGAGGAGCUCGCGUCUGAUUAACUAGUUGGUGAGGUAAAAGCUCACCAAGGCAGCGAUCAGUAGCUGGUCUGAGAGGACGAUCAGCCACACUGGGACUGAGACACGGCCCAGACUCCUACGGGAGGCAGCAGUGGGGAAUUUUCCGCAAUGGGCGAAAGCCUGACGGAGCAAGACCGCGUGAGGGAGGAAGGCUCUUGGGUUGUAAACCUCUUUUCUCAGGGAAGAAGCUCUGACGGUACCUGAGGAAUCAGCCUCGGCUAACUCCGUGCCAGCAGCCGCGGUAAUACGGAGGAGGCAAGCGUUAUCCGGAAUUAUUGGGCGUAAAGCGUCCGCAGGUGGCGAUUCAAGUCUGCUGUCAAAGCACGGGGCUUAACUCCGUUAAGGCAGUGGAAACUGAAUAGCUAGAGUGCCGUAGGGGUAGAGGGAAUUCCCGGUGUAGCGGUGAAAUGCGUAGAGAUCGGGAAGAACAUCGGUGGCGAAAGCGCUCUACUGGACGGCAACUGACACUCAGGGACGAAAGCUAGGGGAGCGAAUGGGAUUAGAUACCCCAGUAGUCCUAGCUGUAAACGAUGGAUACUAGGUGUAGCUUGUAUCGACCCGAGCUGUGCCGAAGCUAACG